rnacentral:rRNA from 1 species
UACGUAGGUGGCAAGCGUUGUCCGGAUUUAUUGGGCUUAAAGGGUGCGUAGGCGGCUUUGUAAGUCAGUGGUGAAAUAUGGCAGCUCAACUGUCAAGGUGCCAUUGAUACUGCGGAGCUUGAGUACAGAUGAGGUAGGCGGAAUUGACGGUGUAGCGGUGAAAUGCUUAGAUAUCGUCAAGAACACCUAUAGCGAAGGCAGCUUACUAGGCUGUAACUGACGCUGAGGCACGAAAGUGUGGGGAUCAAACAGG